rnacentral:lncRNA from 1 species
UUAGUUUAUAGUCCACGACCUAAACAGUUUUCCCAGGUCCCUGUGGUCUCCAUCACAUUUCAGGCAGAGGUAGUCUGCCCAUCAGGCCUAGACGAUCAGAGGCUUUAUGCUGUGGAGCAAGAAUGCAGGAGCAAUGACUCACUUUAUCUUAGGCAAUAUGUGGCACUUAGUUCUCUGGGUGUCAUGUAUUUGUCUAUAGAUUGGGCUGAGCCCUUGCACCAGGCAAGGAAAGAGAACAAUCUCUCACAGUGGGCAUCAUACCACAAUCCAGGUAGAGUUACUUGUCGCUGUGUCUGUAUCUUCUUGGAGACAUUAUCGGGGUUCACUGUUAGGAUUUGGAGAUCUCUGUCUGUCAUAGUAAACUUAAACACAU